rnacentral:tRNA from 1 species
GGCAAUUUGGCCGAGUGGUUAAGGCGUAAGACUCGAAUUGAGAGGUUUUCCAACCUCCUCAAAUAUUGAUAUCUUAUCCCUUCGGGGUCGCAGGUUCGAAUCCUGCAGUUGUCG